CGCGUGAGCAAUCUGCCUUUGGAUGGGGGAUAACAGCCGGAAACGACUGCUAAUACCGCAUAAUGCAGCAGGACCACAUGAUUUUGCUGCCAAAGAUUUAUCGUCCAAAGAUGAGCUCGCGUCUGAUUAGCCAGUUGGCGGGGUAACGGCCCACCAAAGCGACGAUCAGUAGCCGGACUGAGAGGUUGAACGGCCACAUUGGGACUGAGACACGGCCCAGACUCCUACGGAAGGCAGCAG
rnacentral:rRNA from 1 species